GCUAUAUAUCUAAGAAAUUAGAUCAGCCACUAUGUUGUCACUCCUCUUAAGAAAUUUGUUCUUGCUGAUCUUUUAUUUAGGACUUGCAUUAUUUAGAUGAUUAAAGAGUACUAAGUUUGACAUGGAUUUAGAUUAGAGUUACACAGCAAUCGUAUGGUAGAAUAGUAGAAAAGACUCAGUGUGCAUAUUUAAUUAAGAAUGAAGGUGCAUCAAGUUUGGAGAAUGAA
rnacentral:lncRNA from 1 species